rnacentral:lncRNA from 1 species
AAUUUAUCGUUUUUAUCUUUAUACUAAUUUAUAAAGUUAAUAAAAUAGAUAAUUUUUCAAUUUUAUAACUUCACCGUGCGGCAGACGACAUGCACAAUGCGAAGUCCGCCCGCUGUCCAGGACGAAUCUUGUUUAACCGAUUUGACCUUUCAGUCGUGGCCUAGUCAAAGAUUAUAUAAAUGUUGUUCAUCUUAUUAUUUAUUUUCCCUAUUAACAGUAUAUAUAUUUUUCGUAAAAGAAAAAUCUGCAAUAUUUAUACAGGGUGUUUUUAAUGUCCACCGACAAACUUCCAGGCCAGGUUCUGCUCAUGAAAAUGGGUGGAAAGUGUCUUAUGAACAUAGUGUCAGAAAUGCAUAUUUUUUGAGAUAA